GUUCAGUUGGUAGAGCAUGGUGUUUGCAACGCCAGGGUUGUGGGUUCGAUUCCCAC
rfam:Salmo salar isolate Sally breed double haploid chromosome ssa20, whole genome shotgun sequence.